rnacentral:rRNA from 1 species
AAUGAACGUUGGCGGCAUGGAUUAGGCAUGCAAGUCGAGCGAGAAGUGUAGCAAUACACGGAAAGCGGCGGAAGGGAGAGUAAUACGUGGGAAACUGCCCUUAGACCUGGGAUAGCAGCGGGAAACUGCUGGUAAUACCAGAUAAUGUCUAUGGACCAAAGGUGUGAUUCCGUCUAGGGAUGAGCCACGUCCUAUUAGCUAGUUGGUAGGGUAAUGGCCUACCAAGGCGAUGAUGGGUAGCGGGUGUGAGAGCAUGACCCGCCUCACUGGGACUGAGACACUGCCCAGACACCUACGGGUGGCUGCAGUCGAGAAUCUUCGGCAAUGGGCGCAAGCCUGACCGAGCGAUGCCGCGUGCGGGAUGAAGGCCUCGGGUUGUAACCGCUGUCGAGGGGGAGGCAACUUCCAUAGAGUUAUCUUUAUGGAUUGAGUGAUCCCUGGAGGAAGGACGGGCGUAAGUUCGUGCCAGCAGCCGCGGUAA